AAUGAACGCUGGCGGCAGGCCUAACACAUGCAAGUCGAACGAGGCAGCAAUGCCUAGUGGCGGACGGGUGAGUAACGCGUGGGAACGUGCCCCUUGGUACGGAAUAGCCCUGGGAAACUGGGAGUAAUACCGUAUGUGGUCGAGAGACGAAAGAUUUAUCGCCAAGGGAUCGGCCCGCGUUGGAUUAGGUAGUUGGUGGGGUAAUGGCCUACCAAGCCGACGAUCCAUAGCUGGUUUGAGAGGAUGAUCAGCCACACUGGACUGAGACACGGCCCAGACUCCUACGGAAGGCAGCAGUGGGUAAUCUUAGACAAUGGGGGAAACCCUGAUCUAGCCAUGCCGCGUGAUCGAUGAAGGCCUUAGGGUUGUAAAGAUCUUUCAGGUGGGAAGAUAAUGACGGUACCACCAGAAGAAGCCCCGGCUAACUCCGUGCCAGCAGCCGCAGUAA
rnacentral:rRNA from 1 species